UAGGGAAUCUUCCGCAAUGGGCGAAAGCCUGACGGAGCAACGCCGCGUGAGUGAUGAAGGUCUUCGGAUCGUAAAACUCUGUUAUUAGGGAAGAACAAAUGUGUAAGUAACUAUGCACGUCUUGACGGUACCUAAUCAGAAAGCCACGGCUAACUACGUGCCAGCAGCCGCGGUAAUACGUAGGUGGCAAGCGUUAUCCGGAAUUAUUGGGCGUAAAGCGCGCGUAGGCGGUUUUUUAAGUCUGAUGUGAAAGCCCACGGCUCAACCGGGGAGGGUCAUUGGAAACUGGAAAACUUGAGUGCAGAAGAGGAAAGUGGAAUUCCAGGUGUAGCGGUGAAAUGCGCAGAGAUAUGGAGGAACACCAGUGGCGAAGGCGACUUUCUGGUCUGUAACUGACGCUGAUGUGCGAAAGCGUGGGGAUCAAACAGG
rnacentral:rRNA from 1 species